CCCAAGCCUGGGUAAUUUAUAAAGAACAGAAGCCUCAUAGAUCUAAGGCUUCUGUUCUUUAUAAAGAAAGACGUAAUUUAUAAAGAAAAGCCUCAAUGAUGUAUGAUCAUUGGCUCAUAGGUCUGUUGGCUCUACAAGAAGUGUGGUGCCAGCAUCUGCUUGGCUUCUGGUGAGGCCUCAGGAAGCCUCCAAUCAUGGCAGAAGGCAAGGGGAGCAGGAGCUUCACAUGAUGAAAGAGGGCAUAAGACGGGAGAAGGGUCCCUUUGAAACAGCCAGCUCUCGCGAGAGCUCAGAGUGAGAACUCACUAUCACAAGAACAGCCUCAAGCCACCGAUGAGGGAACUACCGCCACGAUCCAAACUCCUCUCCCCAGGCCCCACCUCCAACAUUGGGGAUCACAUUUCAACAUGAGGCUUGGAGGGACACACAUUCGUACCAUGUCACACUUCCCCAGUCUCACACCCCAGGAAUCUGGGUCAGUCCUUCCCAUCAAUAUAUUACUGUCUUUUGCAUGACUGGGGGCUUUCUGGGGAAGAAGGGGCGUCCCCCAACAAAUGGCUUAGAUCAAGCUGACACGUGGUGGGGGCAUCCGCUUUCACUCCUUGUGAAAACAGAUAUUUCUGCUUUCUCUUUUGGCACCCAAGGAAAAAUAUAUUUGCUGCAACAGAAACCAGAAGGAUGGUGUCCAAGAGCUUCAGAGACGGGGAGUCACAGCACCCCCAGCCUUUGAGUCCUGUGGUGUUUGGGGAUUUCAGAAGCCACAGACAGACAUGGAGAAAAUGUCCCACAUGACUCUCCUUCCAAGCAUUCCUUUGCUUUCACAGAAUGAGAAAUAAUGCUCCUGAAUGCACAUGGCAAGGCCUGAAGAAGGUUGACUGAAGCUGGCAGAAGAUAGGAGAGCUCUGUGGUGGAGGGAGCUGUUUCUGGAGCCAGACGCACCCUCAGUGGAGCCUGAGGUCCCUGCUACUACUGAGUGAGUCUUUCUGAGCCCUGGUUUCCUUAUUUGCAAAGUGUGAGAAGGUAACAGUUCUUUUCCUAUGGCUUGUUGGAAAACGCAAGUGAAAGAGUGCAUCAUAUCUGGCACAUCACGUGCUAAUAAAGUUUGCAAUAAUUAUCUGAAGACAAUAGAACUCAUUCAGAGACGCAAGGAAAUCAAUGUAGUUUUUUUUUCUUUAAGUUCCAGGAUACAUAGGCAGAAUGUGCAGGUUUGUUACAUCGCUGUACAUGUACCAUGGGUUUGCUGUACUUAUCAACCCAUCGUCUUCGUUUUAAGACCUGCAUAUGUUAGGUAUUUGUCCCAGUGCUCUCCCUCUCCUUGUCCCCGAAGGCCCAAGAGGCCCCGGUGUGUGAUGAAUCAAAACCACAAUGAGAUACCAUCUCACACCAGUCAGAAUGGUGAUUAUUAAAAAGUCAGGAAACAGGAGAUGCUGGUGAGGCUGUGGAGAAAUAGGAACGCUUUUACACUGUUGAUGGGAGUAUAAAUUAGUGCAACUACUGUGGAAGACAGUGUGGUGAUUCCUCAAAGAUCUAUAACUAGAAAUAUCAUUCAAUCCUGCAAUCCCAUUAUUGGGUAUAUACCCAAUGUAGAUUUUUGACACGUAGGUUUUCUUGUGAAUUGAAAACUAUCAACUUUAGGCUAAAAGCAAGAACUGUUUUUUCUUUAUUUGGCUCAGUUUUUCAUUAGAAAAGAAACCUCCCCAAAUGUAAGGAAGCAAAUAAAUGAAAGGAAAAUUACAACCGUGGGGAGUCAUUACGUUGGAAGGCCUCCCUUGGGACAGGGCGGAAUAUAAUCGCUCCAUUGCUGCAGUCACGAACCAUUAGAGAAUGCCCUUCCCGGAACUGGGCGAAGUUUCCACAGGUGAUGCCUGCAAAGGAUGGGUCCUAUUGGCCUCUGAGGCCUGUGUUUAGGUGGCUGCUCUUUCCAUAUGGAAAAUCCCCAUUGAAUAUGGGAAUCAUGGCCAUGGGAUCCUUCACAUGAUGGUCAGGUGUCCUUCCUAGUUCAUUGCCCUGAAGUCCAAGCACCAAAAGGCACCGACCUGUUGAAAACAUGAGGUCAUUCUGCUAUAACCAGAGCUUUUCUGAACCCCAGCCAUUGGAAAGCCUUGUUAGUAUGAUGCCCAUCCAUUAGAAUUGUUAGUGCUGGCCGGGCGCAGUGGCUCAAGCCUGUAAUCCCAGCACUUUGGGAGGCCAAGGCGGGUGGAUCACGAGGUCAAGAGAUCGAGACCAUCCUGGUCAACAUGGUGAAACCCCGUCUCUACUAAAAAUACAAAAAAUUAGCUGGGCACGGUGGCGUGUGCCUGUAAUCCCAGCUACUCAGGAGGCUGAGGCAGGAGAAUUGCCUGAACCCAGGAGGCGGAGGUUGCGGUGAGCCGAGAUCGCGCCAUUGCACUCCAGCCUGGGUAACAAGAGCGAAACUCCGUCUCAAAAAAAAAAAAAAAAAAAAAAAAAAAAGAA